CGGAUGGAUGCAGUUGUGUGCUCCGGGAACGCGGAAUCAAAUACAGGCAGCUUUGAAGAUCAGCCUGCCUGGCCAUGGCUUCCGAUUAUAUUAACGAGGCGCCGCUCCGUAUCAACAAGGGAAGGUUUCUCAUCAUUUGCAUAUCGGUUGUCUGUUUGCCCUGCUGGGUGCGGCCUUUCAUUGAUUCCAUCGUGAUUCUUGGAUUUACUGAAUAUGCCUGCAAGAGGACAAAUCUCAGGGCUGAAAAUGAAUCUUAGGGUAGUAGAAGCUGCAGAAGAUCGUGAACCUAGCCCAGCACAUCACACAAACCAAUCUUCCAUCCUUGGACUCACUUUACACCACACGCUGUCGGAGCAGUGCUGCCAGGAUAAUCAAGGACACGACCCACCCAGCCAACACACUUUUUGUCCCUCUUCCCUCUGGGAGAAGGUUCAGGAGUUUGAAGAUUCAUACAGCCAGAUUUGGGAACAGCUUCUUUCCAACUGUGAUAAGACUGCUGAACAGAUCCUGACCCGGAUCUGGGCCGUACCUUCCAAAUAUCCGGACUUGACUUGCACUACCUUACUUUCCCUUUUCUAUUUUCUAAUUAAGAUUUAUAAUUUAAAUUUGUAUUAUAUUUACUUUGAUUUGUACUUCAGGGAGCGCGAAGCGCAGAAUCAAAUAUCGCUGUGAUGAUUGUACGCUCUAGUAUCAAUUGUUUGGUGAAAAUAAAGUAUUUAGUGACAUAAACAUACUUUGAUAAGGAACUUACUUUGAACUUCACGC